CGCGAGUGGAUGCCAAUCCCUAAAACCCUCUCAGUUCGGACUGGAGUCUGCAACCCGACUCCACGAAGCUGGAUUCGCUAGUAAUCGCGCAUCAGCCACGGCGCGGUGAAUACGUUCCCGGGCCUUGUACACACCGCCCGUCAAGCCAUGGGAGCCGGGGGUACCUGAAGUGCGUAACCGCGAGGAUCGCCCUAGGGUAAAACUGGUGACUGGGGCUAAGUCGUAACAAGGUAUC
rnacentral:rRNA from 1 species